rnacentral:rRNA from 1 species
CCCUUAGAUGUUCUGGGCUGCACGCGCGCUACACUGAUGCACUCAACGAGUUUACGACCUUGCCCGAUAGGGUUGGGUAAUCUUUUUAAAAUGCAUCGUGAUGGGGAUAGAUUAUUGCAAUUAUUAAUCUUCAACGAGGAAUGCCUAGUAAGCGCAAGUCAUCAGCUUGCGUUGAUUACGUCCCUGCCCUUUGUACACACCGCCCGUCGCUCCUACCGAUUGAAUGGUCCGGUGAAGCGUUCGGACCGUGGCCUUUGGACGGUUCGCCGUCUGUUGGCUGCGGGAAGUUCGUUAAACCUUAUCAUUUAGAGGAAGGAGAAGUCGUAACA